rnacentral:sRNA from 1 species
GCACAUGCGCAGGAGGCUCAAUGACAGUCGAGCUUUGGCUAAGGCUCCGGGGAAAGGGUCUAGCCAUGCUGCAUGUGACCCGGGGGGUCUGGGGGUCCAGGGUCCGAGUAUGGCCACUGUUGCCCGCGCUCCUCGGGCCCCCCCGGGCCCUCUCAUCGCUGGCAGCCAAAAUGGGGGAGUAUCGCAAGAUGUGGAACCCCAGGGAGCCCCGCGACUGGGCCCAGCAGUACCGCGAGCGCUUCAUUCCCUUCUCCAAGGAGCAGCUGCUCCGCCUCCUAAUACAGGAAUUCCACUCGAGUCCGGCAGAGAAGGCGGCUUUGGAGGCGUUCUCGGCCCACGUGGACUUCUGCACCCUGUUCCACUACCACCAAAUCCUGGCCCGGCUGCAGGUGACAGUAAAUUUGGAUCAGUAUGUCUACAUGCACUUCUGGGCCCUGGGCCAGCGAGUCGGGCAGAUGCCCCUGAAGUCCAGCGUGGGCUCCAGGCGUGGCUUCUUCACCAAGCUGCCCCCUGCGGAGAGGUGAGGCGGCCCUUGUUCCCCAGCUGCAGCAAGAGGGAGCAAGGUUAGAGUCAAGAGGGGACUGACAGGUCAGUGUCUGGUUUGGGUGUCUGGGCCCCAGGCGGGAAGUUGAGAAAUGGGAGGCGUGACUCAUGCAAAUGCUGUCUUUUCUUCUCAAGGGAAAGUGAGUACUACACUCGAUUCCCAGGGGAAGAGAAAGGAUGGGGACAGUUCUCCCCAUUUUCCAAUAAGGAAAACUGAGGCUCGGAGAGGGAGGUCCACAUUCUGAAGAUGUGGCACGGCCAGGAUUCCAACAAACAACCUGCACGUCCAAUACCAGGGAUCGAUGGCGCGAUUGAACCGAUCCCCUGUGGUUGGACACAGCUGAUCCCUGGUUUCUUCCCCAUGAUUACUGAGUCGCUUUUAAGAUGGUUGUGCGACUGUAGAGCCAGAGUGAGCGUCCUAGGAUUGGAGGGGGCUCCCCGGGCAGUGCAGUCCCGAUCCUGCUCCUGCCUCUGUCUCUGUCCCUCAGGAGAUACUUUAAGCGGGUGGUGCUGGCAGCCCGGACCAAACGGGGACACCUGGUACUGAAGAG